rnacentral:rRNA from 1 species
ACUCCUACGGGAGGCAGCAGUGGGGAAUAUUGCACAAUGGGCGAAAGCCUGAUGCAGCAACGCCGCGUGAGUGAUGAAGUCCUUCGGGUCGUAAAG